UACGAAGGGGGCUAGCGUUGCUCGGAAUCACUGGGCGUAAAGCGCACGUAGGCGGACUCUUAAGUCGGUGGUGAAAUCCUGGAGCUCAACUCCAGAACUGCCUCCGAUACUGGGAGCCUUCGAGUCCGGGAGAGGUGAGUGGAACUGCGAGUGUAGAGGUGAAAUUCGUAGAUAUUCGCAAGAACACCAGUGGCGAAGGCGGCUCACUGGCCCGGUACUGACGCUGAGGUGCGAAAGCGUGGGUAGCGAACAGG
rnacentral:rRNA from 1 species